UCAGUGCUGUCUUAUAGGAUGUAGUGCCACCUCCUCUAUCAGCAUGCUGCUUCCUCAUUAUCAUUUAAUUAUUUAUUGUUUCUAUUGCAGAACACUCGGGCCUACUCGGUGAACAGCUGUCUGUGCAGGGGUGGAGCUGAGUAUUUGGGGGAUGAGUAAGUAGAAGUAGUUGCAAUGAUAGCCAGGAUGGAGGAGUUGAAGAGUCUUAGCUUCUUAGAAGGCAAAGAUUGAUUGCUAAACUGUGGAACAGGAAAAACUGGCAGGUUUGGGAAUUAUGUUUCGCUUUUGAGGCAGAGAAUAAGGAGUCGCACUGAAGGUGGCAAGGAAAUGGUAUUGCCAAUUAACAGUGACGGGAAGCAGGGAAUGGCAGGAGACUGAAAGGAAAGACAGGCAGUUCCGUUCUAUCCAUUCCAGUUUAAACUGGCAGCGGUGUAAUUAGAAGAGGUGGUCUCAGACACAGGCAGAUGUGCAAGCCUUGUGUAGGAGACAGGUUUAGGGAGCAGAUUUGGGUGUCAUCAACAUAAACUUGGAGGAGAAGGCUCAUGAGCAAAAGCGAUCGCCUGGAUUAAGAGAGGAGUGAAAACCAGAAGGAUAAAACACAGCUGGGAAACUGUAGAAAAUUGGAGAUGGGUAAGGCCGGUGUAGCAAAAGGAUAGCUUAGAGGAAGGAUCCAUGAGAAAGAUGGGCUCUUGGAGCAGUGAAGUGAUCCUGGUUGCUCUCCUGCUGAAUCACUGACGUGGUUGCAUUUGUGAAAUCGGUUUGUUAGAUCUGAUGGGACAGCAGCACAAAGCGGUUAUCUAGUCAGGAGCAAUUGUCAUGUUAUUGUUCACAUGCUUUGAAAAACGUAUUGUGCAGUUACUGCAGCCAAUUUUCAAAUGACAACUUAGCCAUUAUCCUCACUUUUUAUGGCUCAAAAUAUGAGUCCAUGUUACGGAUUAGUGUUUUGCGACAACAGCAACCUACCACUUAGUGCAUACGGACUGCCGCAGUCCAGCGUUUUGUUCCAGAAAAGCUUUUUGUUGCAGUGAAAUACAUAUUGUUCUGACAGUUUUUUUAAAUUCAUCUAACUUGUUUGAGGAAUUGCA
ensembl:lncRNA